AGGGAUGACUGCCUAUGGGUUGUAAACCUCUUUUUUCAGGGAGGAAUAAAAUGACGUGUACCUGAAGAAUAAGCAUCGGCUAACUCCGUGCCGGCAGCCGCGGUAAGACGGAGGAUGCAAGUGUUAUCCGGAAUCACUGGGCGUAAAGCGUCUGUAGGUGGUUUAAUAAGUCAACUGUUAAAUCUUAAAGCUUAACUUUGAAAUCGCAGUCGAAACUAUUAGACUAGAGUAUAGUAGGGGUAAAGGGAAUUUCCAGUGGAGCGGUGAAAUGCGUAGAUAUUGGAAAGAACACCGAUGGCGAAGGCACUUUACUGGGCUAUUACUAACACUCAGAGACGAAAGCUAGGGUAGCAAAUGGGAUUAGAUACCCCAGUAGUCCUAG
rnacentral:rRNA from 1 species